rnacentral:rRNA from 1 species
GACGAACGCUGGCGGCGUGCUUAACACAUGCAAGUCGAACGGAAAGGCCCUGCUUUUGUGGGGUGCUCGAGUGGCGAACGGGUGAGUAACACGUGAGUAACCUGCCCUUGACUUUGGGAUAACUUCAGGAAACUGGGGCUAAUACCGGAUAGGAGCUCCUGCUGCAUGGUGGGGGUUGGAAAGUUUCGGCGGUUGGGGAUGGACUCGCGGCUUAUCAGCUUGUUGGUGGGGUAGUGGCUUACCAAGGCUUUGACGGGUAGCCGGCCUGAGAGGGUGACCGGCGACAUUGGGACUGAGAUACGGCCCAGACUCCAACGGGAGGCAGCAGUGGGGAAUAUUGCACAAUGGGCGGAAGCCUGAUGCAGCAACGCCGCGUGCGGGAUGACGGCCUUCGGGUUGUAAACCGCUUUCGCCUGUGACGAAGCGUGAGUGACGGUAAUGGGUAAAGAAGCACCGGCUAACUACGUG